UACGGGGGGAGCAAGCGUUGUUCGGAUUUACUGGGCGUAAAGGGCGCGUAGGCGGCGCAACAAGUCACUUGUGAAAUCUCCGGGCUUAACCCGGAGCGGCCAAGUGAUACUGUCGUGCUAGAGUGCGGAAGGGGCUACUGGAAUUCUCGGUGUAGCGGUGAAAUGCGUAGAUAUCGUUUGGAACGCCAAUGGUGAAAACAGGUUGCUGGGAGUGCGCUGACGCUGAGACACGAAAGCCAGGGGAGCGAACGGG
rnacentral:rRNA from 1 species